CCGGGCGUCAACCAGGGAACUGCAUUCGAAACUGGCAGGCUAGAGUCUUGUAGAGGGGGGUAGAAUUCCAGGUGUAGCGGUGAAAUGCGUAGAGAUCUGGAGGAAUACCGGUGGCGAAGGCGGCCCCCUGGACAAAGACUGACGCUCAGGUGCGAAAGCGUGGGGAGCAAACAGGAUUAGAUACCCUGGUAGUCCACGCCGUAAACGAUGUCGAUUUGGAGGUUGUGCCCUUGAGGCGUGGCUUCCGGAGCUAACGCGUUAAAUCGACCGCCUGGGGAGUACGGCCGCAAGGUUAAAACUCAAAUGAAUUGACGGGGGCCCGCACAAGCGGUGGAGCAUGUGGUUUAAUUCGAUGCAACGCGAAGAACCUUACCUGGUCUUGACAUCCACAGAACUUUCCAGAGAUGCAUUGGUGCCUUCGGGAACUGUGAGACAGGUGCUGCAUGGCUGUCGUCAGCUCGUGUUGUGAAAUGUUGGGUUAAGUCCCGCAACGAGCGCAACCCUUAUCCUUUGUUGCCAGCGGUCAGGCCGGGAACUCAAAGGAGACUGCCGUGAUAACUGGAGAAAGGU
rnacentral:rRNA from 1 species